UGKUGAUUAUAAUUUCAAGUYUAGCCUGCCCUGKAAGUWWUGAAUGGCCGCGGUAAAUUGACCGUGCAAAGGKAGCAUAAUYMUUAGUUUUUUAAUUGAAAGCUUGUAUGAAAGGUUUGAUGAGGAAAAUUCUGUCUCUGGAAAAAUUUGUUAGAAUUUUAUUUUUAAGUGAAAAAGCUUAAAUUUAUAUAGAAGACGAGAAGACCCUAUAGAGUUUUAUAUUGGUAUAUUAGGGCUAGUUUUUAGGAUUAGGUGCUUGAUUUUUUAUAUUAAUAUUUUGUUGGGGKGAUGGAAAAAUUUAAGGAACUUUUUUUUUUACAAGAUCAUUUAUUUAUGAGUUAAUGAUCCUGAAGUUUAGAUUAUAAGAUUAAAUUACCUUAGGGAUAACAGCGUGAUUUUUUUUAGAGUUCUUAUCGAAAAAAAAGAUUGCGACCUCGAUGUUGGAUUAAAAUAAAUUAUUGGUGUAGAAGCUAAUAAAUUAGGUCUGUUCGACCUUUAAAAUUUUACA
rnacentral:rRNA from 1 species